rnacentral:rRNA from 1 species
UACGUAGGUGGCUAGCGUUGUCCGGAUUUACUGGGCGUAAAGAGCGCGCAGGCGGUCGUUCAAGUCGAGUGUGAAAGCCCCCGGCUCAACUGGGGAGGGUCACUCGAUACUGGUCGACUCGAAGGCAGGAGAGGGAAGCGGAAUUCCCGGUGUAGUGGUGAAAUGCGUAGAUAUCGGGAGGAACACCAGUGGCGAAGGCGGCUUUCUGGCCUGUUCUUGACGCUGAGGCGCGAAAGCUAGGGUAGCAAACGGG